GCGGGGCCGCGGCUGAGGGGCGGGCGGCAGGCCGGGAAUUUAAAGUUCCUGAAUUUAAAGUUCCUUCUUUAGCGCUCCGUGACCCUCGGCUCCAGAACGAGGGCACAUUUGUGCUGUCGGAGCACGUGCUGCUGCACGGGACCAGGGGCCCCUGACCCUGCCUGGACCCAGGGGCUUUGCUCCUGACAAUAUCAAGUUCAGCAACACCCUCUGGCUACUUACGUGAUCAUUACAACCACGCAAAACUUACUACCAAGCAGCUUAGAAGAGAGUAAGUUUCAGUAUUCGUCCUGCAACAGGAGAGGAAACUGAGAAGAAAAGCUCAGUGGCUUCUUCAAGCCUUUCACAGGAAAAAAAUAUAUAUUUCUGGUGGAAAGCCAGUGAUUAAUUUGGCUGUGAGCCAGGCAAGUUAAGCAGAUGCCCAAAAAUUUUCUUCAUAUUAGCAGGAGGAUCAGUGUCUCCUGCAAACAUCCUGUCCCUCAUGGUUACAGGCACAUGGUACUGCCCAGGAAGCUGACUUCACUCAUUGGAUUUGUUUAUGUUUUAUGAGGAAAAUAUAUCUACUGUGUUCUAUGACACUUGGUGUAUAUCCUCCGAGAAUAUCCUGACCCAGAAUGAAACACAUUUCUGUAUCUUGGUGUAUGAUUUGAUAAUUAAAAUGCAGAAAUUACUGGACACUGUUCAGAGACAAUAGUUGAGACCAAGUGUAACAAUGAAAAUAGCAACAUCAACUUUUUGGUGUUUUCAUGUUUAUGCAAUAAUAAACUAGAAAUAGUUAAGGAAACAUUUUCUGAUUAGACUUUGCAGACAAACCAGCAACUGUUGAAAUACAUACAAAUUUUUUGAUACAGAGCAAUCCUAAUGACUGUGAGCAUACCUAUCAGUUAGAAUAGACAUUAGUACAAUCAAUUUCAACUUCACAUUUCAGGACAAGAAAUCUGUGCUGUAUCUGUAGGAUCGAGAGGGACUGAGAAGGCAUCCACUGUCCAGCUAUCUCCAAAGGCAGCAACAGCAAAAAGGAAAACACUUCUGUGCUUGCAUCAGCAGGAGCAAGCAUAAAGAGGCAUUUUAUUUCUGUAAAAGAUACACUUUUACUUGAAGAAACUUCAAGUGUGUCUGUAGUUCACUUGGCUGGGGACAAGUCUCUGAGAUGCAGCAAGAUGUACACAUCAACUGGGCAGAAUUUGAACAGCCUGUUUGGAAAGCAGCAUCAUUCACACAGGUAGCAUGAAGAUGUGGGCACCAGUGCAAGGACUCUCCAUGUCUAAAUUCAACAUUUGUGUAAAAACUGGAGGUGCAGAGUGGGAGCACAAUGGGUACCAGCUCACAGGCACAGAAGCACUGCCAGUUGUUCGGGCUUCUCUGCUGGAGCACGUAAUGAAAGGAGUGUGCUGGGUCGCUCAGCUAAGUCAUUUAGUUUACCCAUUGUCGCCUAAAAUAGCGUCAAGUGCGUGUGACGCAUGCUCUGCUCUGCUGAGGCCCACAGAACAUAUGUUGAUGUACGGGCUGGGAGCCCUCCGUUCCUCUUCCCCACCCGGCCGGCAGACAUCGCCUUCCCCUGUGCGUGCUGGCACUCUGGCCCUCGUCUUCGAGGGUGUGGUGACGUGGAGGCGAUGACAGAGCCAAGGCUUCUGAAGCACACAUCUUCAGAGAGCUGCUGCUCACAGGAGAAAUUAAUAUACAUCAGGUAAAUCUGUGGCUGUAAAUGAAACCUUGGGACACUUCCUCAGACGUGACUAAUCCUGUGCGCACUGUGACUCAGCUGGUGAAGCAUAUAUCAGGAGAGCUCCCAGAGCACUCAGCUAUAAGCCUGUAAAUAAAAAUACCUUGUUUUCUUGUAGGAAACAGAAUCAUUGAACCUGAUUUCAUCGCCUGUUUCUUACUCCUUCAAAAAUAAGCCACCCAAAUGUUUACAGCCAUGCAAGAGAGGAAACAUCAUUGAUAGUAAACACACUGCCUUAAAUUCACAUGUGUUUGGCUCCUGAUUUCUGAGUUCAAAAUCUUAAAGCUCUGGAACCUGACUGACUCCAAAUUAUUUUGUGAAAACGUACUUUUGGUCCUGUUUGUGGUUUAUGAGCUGCAUGGCGAUGAAACCAGAUGUAAUUCAUCAAGUUUGUAGUAUCGGUAACCUGUGUACAUUGGCUGAGGUUAGUUAGAAGAGACUGUGAAACUCACAGGUUUUUUUUGAGGGACUUGGAAAAAGAACUUAGAGUAAGUAUAUUAUUCAUAGUUUGGUUACCCCACAAAAAAAAAAAAAAAAACAAAAAAAA